UGGGGAAUAUUGCACAAUGGGCGAAAGCCUGAUGCAGCAACGCCGCGUGAGGGAUGACGGCCUUCGGGUUGUAAACCUCUUUUAGUAGGGAAGAAGCGAAAGUGACGGUACCUGCAGAAAAAGCACCGGCUAACUACGUG
rnacentral:rRNA from 1 species